AUAUGAUUAUAUGUCAUGUUACAUAUUUCUUUUUAUUCGAUCGAGUAGAGUUCUAGAGAACAUAAUUCUCAUAUAAUUAAUCCUUCAGAGACUAUAUCUUUCAAGAAUUUCAUAUAAAUGUCAUAUCCAGUGUUCCAUCUCUUAUUGCCAGACUUUAGAUACUUAAAAGUAUUGCAUCCACCACAAGAGAAUGCAUCUCUUCAUAAUAUAUUUCUUAUCUUUGUGAAAAUCUCAUUAAUUUCACUAUUCUUUCACAUAAAGAUUCAUUUAUCUUCCACUGGUUUUACACAU
rnacentral:sRNA from 1 species